rnacentral:lncRNA from 1 species
AAAACAGAACAACACAAGUUUAACGAGGUUCGGCAAUUUUGAGCCUACGUCCCCGGUGGAGUUUGAGAUUCUUAUUCAUCAUACAGAUAUCAGUACAACAGGCUGCAUAUAUAGGCAAGCCUUUUACAGUCGUUAGAAUUAAUAAAGGCUUUACAGUACCAAGACAAUACAACUGUUGGAAGAUGAAGAGUUUCCAGCAGCUGUAAGAAGAUGAGGACAGCAGUUAAUUAUUUUACAUAUUCCAAUACUCCCCCUCAAGCGGAGGCGAGAAUAUUGAUUGAGCCAAGCUUGAACAAAAGGUUUUCAAAUUGAGCUAAAGGAAGUCCUUUGGUGAAGAUAUCUGCCAGUUGCUCAUUACUGCAGAUGUAUGAUGUGUGAAUUAUAUUAGACUGAAUCUUCUCUCGGACAAAAUGACAAUCAACUUCAAUAUGCUUGGUUCGUUCAUGAAACACUGGAUUGGAAGCAAUGUGAAUGGCAGCCUGAUUAUCACAAAAGAGAGUCAUGGGAUGUGGGUCUUUAAAGCCCAAAUCAUUGAGAAGUCCUUGGAGCCAAAUUAAUUCGCAAGAGACAGCAGCCAUGGCUCUAUAUUCGGCUUCAGCACUUGAACGAGCAACGACACUUUGUUUCUUACUCUUCCAUGUGACCAAAUUUCCUCCAACGAAGGUACAAUAUCCUGUGGUGGAUUUCUGGUCAAUUUGACACCCUGCGCAAUCAGCAUCUGACUACCCUAUAAUUUGAUUGUUUCCAUUUUUCCUCAUCAAAAUACCACGACCAAUGGAACCCUUUAAGUAACGAAGAAUCCGUUUGACUGCUUGCAGGUGAGUUGAUCGAGGAGAAUGCAUGAAUUGGCUUACUAAGCUUACUGCGUGAGAGAUGUCAGGACAAGUAAUAGUAAGACAAAUAAGCCUCCCAACCAGCCUUUGAUAACAAGUAGCAUCUGCUAACAAAUCUUCAUCGAGACCAAGUUUGGCCUUGCAGUCAACUAGGGUAAUGACUGGUUUGGUUUCUAACAUACCAGUUUCUUGAAGAAGAUCCAACACAUACUUGCGUUGAUUAAGAAAUAAACCUUUGCUUGAGGAGGCAAUUCCAAUACCCAAAAAGUACUUUAAGGACCCUAAAUCCUUAAUAGCAAACUUCUUGUGAAGAAAAGACUUGAGUUUAUGAAUCUCUCUCAUAUUGCUGCUUGUAAUAAUGAGAUCAUCAACAUAUAUAAGUACCACCAAUCUUCCAGCAGGCCCAUCUUUAACAAACAAAGAGGAAUAUGCAUUACUUCUUUUGAAAUUUAUACUUUCAAGAACUGAACUUAAUUUGGCAUACCAAGCCCGUGGAGAUUGCUUAAGUCCGUAGACAGCCUUGUUCAAUUUACAAACCAUUCCUUGUUUUUCUUGAGGAUGACCAGGCGGCAAGCUCAUGUAAACUUCCUCUUCUAAUUCUCCAUGCAAAAAGGCAUUCUUCACAUCCAUUUGAAAUAAAGGCCAAUCACUAUUUACAACAACAGAUAAGAGAACUCUUACUGUGUUCAUCUUUGCUACAGGUGCAAAAGUUUCCUUGUAGUCUACUCCAAAAGUUUGAGUAAACCCCUUAGCCACCAGCCUUGCCUUGUGUCUCUCAAUGGAUCCAUCGCUGUUAAACUUGGUCUUAUAAACCCAUCUGCAACCAACCACUUUCUUCCCUUUGGGCAACUUAACAAUACUCCAAGUUUGAUUCUCAUCAAGAGCUUUAAGUUCUUCUCUCAUUGCUUUUUGCCAAAUCAAUUGGGUUUUUGCCUCUUGAAAAGAGCUGGGUAUCGAGUGGCACAACUGACAUAGUCCUUGAAUUUUGGUGGGGGAUUCCGUGCUGUACUUGGAUUUCUUCGUGGUGCAACUAGAGAAGGAAGAGUAGAAAUAAGCUCAGUUUGAACACUGUCGGAAGGAGUACCUUCGUUGUUGGAAGGUGUUUCUUCGCUGCUGGAAGUUAUAUCUCGAGAACAAGGAACACUUGUAGGACUAUGAUCAUCAAUGGUUUCUACAAUUGGCAAAGGCACUUGAUCAAGAAAGCGCUCCCCCUGACUAUUAUUUCCAUAGGAUUCAUUAAAGAAGGAACAUGUUUCAUCAAACACAACAUCACGAGAUAUAAUGAUCUUUCGGGUUCUUGAAUCAUAGCAUUUAUACCCUUUUUGUGUUGAAGAAUAACCCAUAAAAACACACUUAGCUGCUCUUGAGUCAAAUUUAUCUCGAUGUAAUCCAUGAAUAUGAACAAAACAAACACAGCCAAAGAUACGAAGGUGGGAAAGAUCAAUUUUCCUUCCUUUGAGAACUUCAAGAGGAGAUUUGUAGUUAAGAACUCUACUUGGAAGCCUAUUGAUCACAUAGGCUGCCGUGAGAACUCCAUGAGACCAAAACUUCUUAGGAACAUUCAUUUGUAGCAUGAGCGACUGCGUUUUUUGAAGGAGAUCACAAUUUUUUCUCUCUGCCCCCCCCCCCCCCCCCCAUUUUGUUGGGAUAUGCCGAUGCAACUUGUCUGAUGAAUUACACCAUAAGAACUUACGUAUUGUGAAAGGGUACUAUUCAUAAAUUCAGUACUGUUGUCAGAUCUUAAAACUUUAAGCUGGGCUGAAAAUUGAUUCAUUAUAAGUCAAUGGAACUCUUUGAAGACAGAAGCAACCUCACUCUUUGAUUUCAAUAAAUAUGACUAAGUAGUCUGAGAGAAAUCAUCGACAAAGAUAACAAAAUAUUUAAAGCCAUCAAAAGAUUCUAAGGAUGCUGGCCCCCAUACAUCUGAGUGAACAAUCUCAAAAGGUCUGGCGGUUUUUGACAAUGAAUGACUAAAUGGCAGACGUGUCUGCUUUGAAAAAUGACAAAUCUCACAAUCUUGGGAUGUCUUAUCUAGUGCUGGAAAUAAGCUUGACAAAACAGAUUCAGAGGGAUGUCCCAGACGUUGAUGCCACAAAACAUGAUUUGGGAGAGAAUUGACUUGGAGCCCUCUUGAGUUGUUAGGAAAAUGAUGAAGAAGAUACAAUCCAUUUGAGUAAACACCUUCACCAAUCUUCUUCUUGGUAAUUCGAUCCUGAAAAAUCACAUUAAAAGGAGAAAAAAUGGCAUCACAGUUUAAGGAAUUUGUCAGUCUUCCUACUGACAAUAACUGAAAAGGGAACGAUGGCACAUAUAAGGCAAUAGACUCAACAUCUGUACCAAGAAAAUUUAACCUUCCCUUGGCCCAAAACUGGAGACAUCAGUACCAUUAGCUACAGAGACACAGUAAGCCUUAGUGAAAUUCUUAAAUCACAAAGAUACUGUUUUUUAUUCGUCAUGUGAUCGGUGGCUCCCGAAUUUAUAACCCAAACAUUUGACAUAGUGCUAAAAAUAAGUGCAGUCACAAAGGCUUUGACAAUACCUGAGACAUCAGAAGUAGAGGACUUUCCAUAUUGUUGAAGAAAAUUAGCAAACUGUCCAAGAAGAGGAGCAGAGUUUGAGGCUAGAUUUGCUCCAGCAUUAUUAGAGACACUUGCAUCAAUUUUACGAUUGGGAUUCUCAUUUUUUUGGUGGAGAUGCGCAGCAAACUCACCAAGAAAAGCUGAAGGGUUGGUAGUGAAUUUUUCAAAAUCAUCAGCAGCAGAAACUUGAUUGGCACUGUGUUUUUGUUCUCUCUUACCUUCCUUUCCAAAUUUUGGUUUCAAAUGAGGGUGGAGAAUCCAACACCUAUCCUUGGUGUGACCUUUUUGUUCGCAAUGACUACACUCCAGAUUGCCUUUUUUUCCUUUGAAAUUUUUGCUUGCUUGUUUUUUAGCACCAGCUACAAAAGCUUUAGAUUCAGAACUUCCAGUGCCUGAUUUGGUUUCUACAUUCAUGACUUUCUUCCUUACCUCUUCUCGUUGAAUAGUAGUACAAACAGUAUUGAAAGAAAGCAUUUCAGCACUCAUCAAAAUGUGACUGCGUAAGUCUUCAUAAUCUGGAUCCAAACUUGCCAAGAGUUGGAAAAUUUUAUCCUCUUCAGCCCUUUUCAGAAGGGUGGCUGAAUAAGCAGUAUGUGGUCUGUAAAGAUCUAGCUCAUUCCACAUGCCUUUAAGCUUUCCCAGAUGUUCAAUAAAAGGUUUUUCCAUCUUGAUAUACCCCCGCGAUAUCCUUCUUUAGUUGAAAAAUCCUGGCUGCAUUAUUUUGAUUUCCAUACAUUUCUUUGACAGCAGUCCAAAGAUGUUGCGCAGAAUAAAAAAAAUUGAAAAUCUCAGCAACUUGAGGCUCCAUAGAGUUGAGAAACCAAGACAUGACAAGUUGAUCCUUGUAGAACCAAUCCUCAUACUUUGAAUCAUCAACAGCAGGUGCAGGAAUAUUUCCAUUAAUGAAGCCAAGUUUCGAUCUUCCUCCAAGAGCCAAACUGACAGCUCUUGACCAAGGAAUAUAGUUAAAUCCAUUUAGAAGAACUGAACAAAGGUGAAGAUUGGGAUUCCCAUCGGAUUCUCCGGAAAAAACAAAAGCUCUCCCAGAAGAAUCACCCAUUGAGAAGACAGAGACAGGAUUUUCAAAGGUCCUGCUCUGAUAACAUGUAGAAAUCAGAGAAAGAAGAAAACAGAACACCACAAGUUUACCGAGGUUCGGCAAUUUUGAGCCUACAUCCCCGGUGGAGUUUGAGAUUCUUAUUCAUCAUAUAGAUAUCAGUACAACAGGCUGCAUAUAUAGGCAAGCCUUUUACAGUCGUUAGAAUUAAUAAAGGCUUUUACAGUACCAAGACAAUACAACUGUUGGAAGAUGAAGAGUUUCCAGCAGCUGUAAGAAGACGAGGACAGCAGUUAAUUAUUU